rnacentral:sRNA from 1 species
UGGGCUUCAUAUAUUUCAGUUAGUUCACACUGUGUACAAAAAAUGUCUUUUAACAAAUUUGUUUGGAUGAUUUUUAAAUGCAAUAAUUUAAUCCAAUGUUUAUUUAUGCCUUGUUAAAAAUACAUCUAAAAAUAUUUCGUACUUCUUUUUAGUCUCCAUUGAUGGAUCUCUUUAGUGUGAAUAUUGUUUUGUCUACUGGCACAUUUUCUGAAGUGAACAUCAAGAACAAACAUACACGAACUAGAAAGUACAAGUAAGGAGUGCUAAGAAGAUUCAAUUUUGUAAUUACUAUUUUGUGUUCUCUAGACACGAUAGACUUUUUGAGUUUUCUGGUCUAUACUAGUGUUUUCUCUGGUCUAUACUUAUGUUUUCUCUGGUCUAUACUUAUGUUUUCUCUGGUCUAUACUUAAUGUUUUCUCUGGUCUAUACUUAAUGUUUUCUCUGGUCUAUACUUAAUGUUUUCU